rnacentral:rRNA from 1 species
UACGGAGGGUGCAAGCGUUAUCCGGAUUCACUGGGUUUAAAGGGUGCGUAGGCGGAAUGAUAAGUCAGUGGUGAAAGCCCCGAGCUCAACUUGGGAAUUGCCAUUGAUACUGGAUGGCUUGAGGUUGGGAGAGGGAUGUGGAAUUCCAGGUGUAGCGGUGAAAUGCGUAGAUAUCUGGAGGAACACCGGUGGCGAAGGCAGUGUUCUGGGCCAGUACUGACGCUGAGGAGCGAAAGCGUGGGGAGCAAACAGG